CCUACGGGAGGCAGCAGUGGGGAAUCUUCCGCAAUGGGCGCAAGCCUGACGGAGUGACGCCGCGUGGGGGACGAAGGCCUUCGGGUCGUAAACCCCUUCGGACGGUACCUCCAGAAGCAGCCACGGCUAACUUCGUGCCAGCAGCCGCGGUAAUACGAAGGUGGCAAGCGUUGUUCGGAUUUACUGGGCGUACAGGGAGCGUAGGCGGUUGGGUAAGCCCUCCGUGAAAUCUCCAGGCUUAACCUGGAAAGUGCAGAGGGGACUGCUUAGCUAGAGGAUGGGAGAGGAGCGCGGAAUUCCCGGUGUAGCGGUGAAUGCGUAGAGAUCGGGAGGAAGGCCGGUGGCGAAGGCGGCGCUCUGGAACAUUUCUGACGCUGAGGCUCGAAAGCGUGGGGAGCAAACAGGAUUAGAUACCCUGGUAGUCCACGCCUUAAACGAUGGAUACUAAGUGUCGGCGGGUUACCGCCGGUGCCGCAGCUAACGCAGUAAGUAUCCCGCCUGGGAAGUACGGCCGCAAGGUUG
rnacentral:rRNA from 1 species